rnacentral:rRNA from 1 species
AUUGAACGCUGGCGGCACGCCUAACACAUGCAAGUCGAGCGGAGAGGCGGACUGGUGAGUAAUGUCUAGGACUCUGCCUGGUAGUGGUGGAUAACGUCCGCAAAUGGGCGCUAAUACCGCAUACUAUCAGAUUAGCCUAGGUCGGAUUAGCUAGUGGGUGGGGUAAAGGCCUACCCAGGCGACGAUCCGUAACUGGUCUGAGAGGAUGAUCAGUCACCCUGGAACUGAGACACGGUCCAGACGCCUACGGGAGGCAGCAGUGGGGAAUAUUGGACAAUGGGCGAAAGCCUGAUCCAGCCAUGCCGCGUGUAUGAAGAAGGUCUUCGGGUUGUAAAGUACUUUAAGUUGGGAGGCGUUACCAACAGAAGAAGCACCGGCUAACUCCGUGCCAGCAGCCGCGGUAAUUC